CUAAGGGGUGUCUUAGUGUCGAAUAAUUCCAUUUAGGCAAAGCUUGGUGUAAGAUUUUCUAUUGAAAAUUAUUGAGGAUUAGGCACAUUGCCAAACGUCAUGAAAUUUCUUGUGUGCUCAUAAUCUUGUAAUAACAUAAGUAUGAACUAAGACAUCAAUAUUAGAUAACAUGAAGGAAUGUGGAAAAGAGAGUUUAAUUAUAUAUGUUGGAUUGAGGAUUGUCCAUGGUUUAGCCUGCCAUUUUGUAAGCUUUUACAAAGUUGGAAGAGUAUAAGCAUUUAAGGUAGUAUCUCCGGUGCUGGGGUUUCGUGUUUAAGGUAUUAUAAGUAGCUUGUUGUGUAGAAAAAAGAUUUUUCCUAAAUAUUUGUGGGAAAUGUGGAAGUAUUUAUAGGGUUGACCAAAUGUAAAUUUGUUUAGUACUGGGUUAUCUGACCUGAGUUGGUGGAACUCCUAACAUGUGAGUCGCAUGUCAGCCUCUCUGU